CUUGGUCAUUUAGAGGAAGUAAAAGUCGUAACAAGGUUUCCGUAGGUGAACCUGCGGAAGGAUCAUUAUUGAAAUAAACCUGAUGGGUUGUUGCUGGUUCUCUAGGGAGCAUGUGCACACCUUGUCAUCUUUAUAUUUCCCCCUGUGCACUUUUUGUAGACCUUUCAGGUCUAUGUUGCUUCAUUUACCCCAAUGUAUGUUAAUAGAAUGUUGUGCCUAUAUAAUAUAUACAACUUUCAGCAACGGAUUUCUUGGCUCUGGCAUGGAUGAAGAACGCAGCGAAAUGCGAUAAGUAAUGUGAAUUGCAGAAUUCAGUGAAUCAUCGAAUCUUUGAACGCACCUUGCGCUCCUUGGUAUUCCGAGGAGCAUGCCUGUUUGAGUGUCAUUAAUAUAUCAACCUUCUCUUUUUUGAGUUGUUUGGAUGUGGGGGUUUGCUGGCCUCUUAAAUGAUUCAGCUCCCCUGAAAUGCAUUAGCAGAACAACCUGUUCAUUGGCGUGAUAAUUAUCUAUGCUAUUGAAUGUGAGGGCAGUUCAGCUUUCUAACCGUCCUUGGACAAUUCAUCAUUAAUGUGACCUCAAAUCAGGUAGGACUACCCGCUGAACUUAAGCAUAUCAAUAAGCGGAGGA
rnacentral:rRNA from 1 species